ACUUCUUUGCAUUGUCACACAUGCUUCAGUGCUCUGAGAGUGUUUAUAGUGCUGUGAGUUUAACACUUCAUGACUGAGAGCAGAACAGAACACAAUCUUCAUCAUCACACAAGACAAAAGAACAACAAUGAACACAAUCACCUUCUUCAUCUGGACUCUCACACUGAUCGCUCAAGAGUGUAGAGGACAGUACACUGUAACUCAGAGUCCAUCAAUAACAGCAGUUCAACCAGGACAAGAAGUCAGAAUAAACUGUAAAACCAGCAGUGCAGUGUAUAGUAGUAAUCGUUUAGCCUGGUACUUACAGAAACCUGGAGAAGCUCCUAAACUCCUCAUAUAUUAUGCAACAAGCCGUCAUACAGGAACUCCAUCUAGAUUCAGUGGCAGUGGAUCUGGCAGUGAUUUCACUCUGACCAUCAGUGGAGUCCAGACUGAAGAUACAGGAGAUUAUUACUGUCAGAGUGCACACUGUCCUAGUAGCUGUGUGUUCACACAGUGAUAAAGAGUGUUACAAAAACCUUGGUCGGAAAUUCAGUCACUUUAAUUGCACUUCCAUGCUUCAUCACUAGAUGGCGUGUCUGUUACAUAACUGAGUUCUCUAUCUGUCAGUCACUUUGAGGUUGUGUCGAUGUGAUAACACUAGUGUAGUGUUUCUCAACCUUUUUUACUUGAUGGCCUCCUCCUUCAUACUGCAGUGCCCCCCUAAGAUGCCUGACGUUUCCUCUUAUACUGAACUUCCACAGCAAAGAGAGAAAAGUGUCGAGUGAUUGCAUCUGUGCCAACAGAACGAUUGAGACUCCCAUCUAAAGCCUGUCGGUUCACGUCGUCUCUGAUAACAAGAACUUAAUGCUGUUGGACAGGCUGUCUCUGCUGUACAUGCCACGGACAUGAACGAGGAUAGUCCCGACCCAGCACACAUGCAGGAACUAUGCUUGUCUAACGAUUUAUUAAUAAUUAAUAAUCAUCAAUAAUUAAUAAUCAUAAACUGUGAGGUAAGAUUAGUUUACACACAUCAGAAGGUCUACUCUCUCAUCUCUGCAUAGAAAGACACACGUGCAAAUGAGAUGCUAAAAUUCAAUGGUUAAAAGCAGCACUUUAAAGGAAAAUUCACUAAUCACUGAUGCACAUUAUGACAGAAACCCUUAACAAUGUUCUAACAUCAUAAAUACAGCGAUUAUGAUAUAAAGAUACAGUAAAGCAAAUACAGGAUAAAUGUGAAACAGCAAAACGACCUCUGCUUCCCCGUCGACAUACAGCAUGACUUAAAC